GGUUCAUUCAAAUUUCUGCCCUAUCAACUUUCGAUGGUAAGGUAUUGGCUUACCAUGGUUUCAACGGGUAACGGGGAAUUAGGGUUCGAUUCCGGAGAGGGAGCCUGAGAAACGGCUACCACAUCCAAGGAAGGCAGCAGGCGCGCAAAUUACCCAAUCCCGACCGGGGAGGUAGUGACAAUAAAUACUGAUACAGGGCUCUUUUGGGUCUUGUAAUUGGAAUGAGUACAAUUUAAACCUCUUAACGAGGGACAAUUGGAGGGCAAGUCUGGUGCCAGCAGCCGCGGUAAUUCCAGCUCCAAUAGCGUAUAUUAAAGUUGUUGCAGUUAAAAAGCUCGUAGUUG
rnacentral:rRNA from 1 species